UACAGAGGUCUCAAGCGUUGUUCGGAUUCAUUGGGCGUAAAGGGUGCGUAGGCGGGCGCGGUAAGUCGGGUGUGAAAUCUUGGAGCUUAACUCCCGAAACUGCAUUCGAUACUGCCGUGCUUGAGGACUGGAGGAGGAGACUGGAAUUUACGGUGUAGCGGUGAAAUGCGUAGAUAUCGUAAGGAAGACCAGUGGCGAAGGCGGGUCUCUGGACAGUUCCUGACGCUGAGGCACGAAG
rnacentral:rRNA from 1 species